CAGCUGUCCUUCAUGACAACAGAAGCCACAGAAAUCCUCCUCAUCAAAAACAUGACUUUGCUCUCCGUCCUCAUCUGGACUCUCCUCUGCUUCACUCAGGGGUCUGUUGGACAAAAUGUUGUCGUGACUCAGCCAGCAGCCAAAACAGUGCAGCUGGGUCAAAGUGUCUCUAUUGACUGUAAGGCCAGUCCAACAGUUGCUCAAUACUCUGGUUCACAAUACCACCUGGCCUGGUACCAUCAGAAAACCGGAGAAGCUCCUAAACUUCUGAUCUACCUAACAUCAGACAGAUUUUCUGGACUCUCCUCCAGAUUCAGUGGAAGUGGAGCAGGGAAUGGAGUUGACUUCACUCUGACCAUCAGUGGAGUCCAGGCUGAAGAUGCAGCAGUUUACUACUGUCAGAGUUAUCAUGAAAUCAACAGUCAGGAUGUGUUCACACAGUGAAAAAGUGUCGUACAAAAACCUCCCUCAGUCAGACUGAACAGAAACUGAACUGCCUGCUGCAGCUGGAAGCUACUGCAGAGACUGAUACAGUUCACUGAGGACACACACACACACACGUUUGUUUUACUGACCCCGUGGAGGACAGUCACUGACAUAAUGCUUUCCCUAGCCCCUUACCCUAACCAUAACCUAAUAGUAACCUGUAUC